GAUGAACGCUGGCGGCGUGCUUAACACAUGCAAGUCGAACGGAAAGGCCCUGCUUGCAGGGCACUCGCGUGGCGAACGGGUGAGUAACACGUGGGUGAUCUGCCCUGCACUUCGGGAUAAGUCUGGGAGACUGGGCCUAAUACCGGAUAUGUCCUUUAUUGAAGCGCGGGGGGUGGAAAGAUUUAUCGGUGUGGGAUGGGCCUGCGGCCUAUUCGCUUGUUGGUGGGGUAAUGGCUUACGAAGGCGCCGACGGGUGGCCGGCCUGAGAGGGUGGACGGGCACAUUAGGCCUGCGGGACGGCCCAGAAUCCUACGGGAGGCAGCAGUGGAAAAUAUUGCAGAGUGGGGGGAAGCCUGAUGCAGCGACGCUGGGUGGGGGAUGACCGCCUUCGGGUUAUAAACCUCUUUCGACAGAGACGAAGCUGCGGUGACGGUACCUGAAUAAGAAGCACCGGCUAACUACGUG
rnacentral:rRNA from 1 species